CAGAAUUUAUAUCGAACACAUGACGAUGACAAAAAAAAGCUCUUCAAAUCGAUCCAUCAUUGCUUCAAACGAACGUGGUCUUUGUCUUACAUUCGAACAGCGAACACCGGUAAACAUAAGAAAUUAUCACUUGAUGCUGAUGAUUGUGCCUAAGUCAUCUUAGAGCAAGGUAUGAAGAACAAACUUAUGACAAUUACGAUUAAGAAAAUGUAUCCCGAUCAGGAACGGAUAUCUCGAUACCGAUAAAUUCAUAUUGAUUAGCCUGAUAUAAGAGGUAAAAUAUUAAAGAAUAGUACCGAAAAAAAUGUUCCCACAAUUUCAUUCCAAUACCAACUAGCGACGCCGGUGGUGUAGUGGUAAGCGUGAUUGCCUCUCACCCCAAAAAGGCUUGGUUCAAUUCCAGUCGGCGUCACCGGGAUUUUCUGAGACAUAAAAUCUCUGAUCACGCCUUCCUUCGAAAGGAAGAAAAGCCGUUAGUCCCCGGUCCAUAAGUUUGAUGGGUCGAUAGGUAGGGUUCAGGUAUGGG